rnacentral:tRNA from 1 species
ACACCGCCCUUUCACGGCGGUAACAGGGGUUCGACUCCCCUACGGGACG